rnacentral:rRNA from 2 species
AUGGACGAAAGUCUGAUGGAGCAACGCCGCGUGAGUGAAGAAGGGUUUCGGCUCGUAAAACUCUGUUGUUAAAGAAGAACAUAUCUGAGAGUAACUGUUCAGGUAUUGACGGUAUUUAACCAGAAAGCCACGGCUAACUACGUGCCAGCAGCCGCGGUAAUACGUAGGUGGCAAGCGUUGUCCGGAUUUAUUGGGCGUAAAGCGAGCGCAGGCGGUUUUUUAAGUCUGAUGUGAAAGCCUUCGGCUUAACCGAAGAAGUGCAUCGGAAACUGGGAAACUUGAGUGCAGAAGAGGACAGUGGAACUCCAUGUGUAGCGGUGAAAUGCGUAGAUAUAUGGAAGAACACCAGUGGCGAAGGCGGCUGUCUGGUCUGUAACUGACGCUGAGGCUCGAAAGUAUGGGUAGCAAACAGGAUUAGAUACCCUGGUAGUCCAUACCGUAAACGAUGAAUGCUAAGUGUUGGAGGGUUUCCGCCCUUCAGUGCUGCAGCUAACGCAUUAAGCAUUCCGCCUGGGGAGUACGGCCGCAAGGCUGAAACUCAAAGGAAUUGACGGGGGCCCGCACAAGCGGUGGAGCAUGUGGUUUAAUUCGAAGCUACGCGAAGAACCUUACCAGGUCUUGACAUACUAUGCAAAUCUAAGAGAUUAGACGUUCC